rnacentral:rRNA from 1 species
GACGAACGCUGGCGGCGUACUUAACACAUGCAAGUCGAACGGAAAGGCCCCUUUGGGGGUACUCGAGUGGCGAACGGGUGAGUAACACGUGAGUAACCUGCCCUUGACUUCGGGAUAACUUCAGGAAACUGGGGCUAAUACCGGAUAGGAAUCCUUGCUGCAUGGUGGGGGUUGGAAAGCUUCGGCGGUUUUGGAUGGACUCGCGGCUUAUCAGCUUGUUGGUGGGGUAGUGGCUUACCAAGGCUUUGACGGGUAGCCGGCCUGAGAGGGCGACCGGCCACAUUGGGACUGAGAUACGGCCCAGACUCCUACGGGAGGCAGCAGUGGGGAAUAUUGCACAAUGGGCGGAAGCCUGAUGCAGCAACGCCGCGUGCGGGAUGACGGCCUUCGGGUUGUAAACUGCUUUCAGCAGGGGCGAAGCUUGUGGUGACGGUACCUGCAGAAGAAGCACCGGCUAACUACGU